rnacentral:rRNA from 1 species
AUUGAACGCUGGCAGCAGGCCUAACACAUGCAAGUCGAGCGAGCGGCGGACGGGUGAGUACUGUAUGGGGACUGCCCGAUAGCGGGGGAUAACUACUGGAAACGGUAGCUAAUACCGCAUCCUAUCGGCUCACACCUAUGGGAUUAGCUAGUAGGUGAGGUAAUGGCUCACCUAGGCGACGAUCCCUAGCUGGUCUGAGAGGCUGAUCAGCCACAUUGGGACGGAGACACGGCCCCUACGCUUACGGAGGAAGCAGUGGGGAAGAGUGCACAAGGUGCGCAGGCCUGAUGCAGACAUGCCGCGUGUAUGAAGAAGGCCUGAGGGUGGUAAAGUACGUUCAGUCGGGAGGCGUUACCGACAGAAGAAGCACCGGCUAACUCCGUGCCAGCAGCCGCGGUAAUUC